CAUUUGAUGAAAUCUCAUCUUACUGUAAGUACACCUGUCUCAGCCCUAGAGUUAGUCCACUAUUUUAGGGUGGAAAUGACAAGCCUAACAAAAUCAUAUGUUCAAAACAAACACAGCUGUUAUUUUUUUUCUCUCAUCUCUACUUUGGGAAGCAGGAGAGCCCAAUGUGGAGCUGUCUGAAGGGAAGACGCUUUGCCAAGUUCAAACCAGAGAGUAUCCUCAACAGUGCUACCUAUAACCCAGUCAGCAGCUUCACACUACACCUAUCAUUCUCUUUGCUGUCCUCAACAUCAGCAGCUCUAGAGAAUUCCUAGCCAAGAUGGUGAAAUGAGCUUGAGCUGGAGAAAUGAGGUCCAAUAUAAAUGGAAACAGUUGAAGUUAAUCAGUGUACUGAAGAUUGCCAUAGUCAAGUUCCUUAACUUCUUCUUCAUUAUCUUCAGAGAAUCAAGAUACUGUAUGUUACAACUGCAUUCAUGCACCACAUUAAGCAUGAUUUGUGUAAUAUCAUAUAUUGAAUAAAGCAUAGUUAUGUUUUCAGUGA